GAAGAGAAUUUCUAGGAACCAGGAAAUCCUAUUUUUAUUUCUUAAAUAAAUUCUGCAGUCUCCUUGCAAGUGGUUGAAGCUACUGAGCUAGUCUGUAUGUAUAUAACUUCUGGUCAAUGAUGGGCAGAGCUGAGUGUAAAGCGGAAAAAAUUUGUAAACACACUUUUAUGUAAAAUUCACGUUUUAUGAUUUGAAAGGAGCUCCCUGGAACUGUUCAUUUAAAAUCCUUUUGGUGCUAAUGAAAGUGGUCCUGUUUUCUGUUGUGCAGGAAGAAGCAGGAAGCUUUAAUAUGACCAGAAGUAAUUUCACAAACAAAAUCCAUGUUUCUUUUACUGCAGCCUGAUUGCAUUCAAACACGGUGUGAUAUUUCAGUGUCCAAGAAGCAGUAAGCAAAGCAUCAGUGAUCAACAAUAAUGCUGAUUCAGAGUCAGAUCAAUGAAGAAGUGUUGACCUGUUGACGCUGGAUAGCCCAGAAGCAAUGAGUUCUCGGCUGAACAAAUUAAGAAGAACCUGCCAAGCCUUCUGAAACCACUGUGGCUCUGGGUUGAUUGUUCAAGAAGGGAGUGGGGUGCUGAGUCUGGGCCUGUCAGGAGCGCAGUGCUGUCAUGUCCAGAAUGAACUGGGCUUGGAAAUUCAGCAAGCGAACUUUUUUGCUGCUGACUGUCUCGUGGAGGAGUGAGAGCAGGGCAGAGGGCGUACUGGAGCGCAGAUUUCGGAGGAGUCAGUAUGUGACUGCCCAGAGGAGGGAAGCCCUCUACCCUGGGAAAUGCUUCCAUUUCAUGAAAAUGAUGCCUGCUCAGCAUGCCUGGCUUAUUACUGCUUGCGGUGUGGAUUUGCUGCUGUUCCCAUGUCUCCUGAUGGGAUGGAGGGUGAGGGCAGAGAGGCAGGAUCUGCAGCUCAGAGCUGGGCAGCAGGAGGACGACAACAGAGCAGACAAGUGUUUGGCUAAAGCUCUCUUCUAGUGUAGGAGCUGUGCUCGCCUAUGGAGAGGUGCCCCAGGUGAGCGGGGGUUGGUAACUGYGGUGUGCGUGUUGCUCUUGCUUCUGUAAGGAAAUACAGAACAAAUCUUGGAACUGUGCAUUUCCGACACCUGUUAAAGCAAGAAUAUAUUUUAAUCAAGCUUACGGCAUGUCCAGGAUGCGCUUUGUGCUCCGGGGAAAAGGCCCUCCAGCAGUAGCUGCUCCAGAUGGCAAAUAGCUUUCAGCCCCGUAACUCUCCCUUCGUAGCUUGCUCUCGUCUGAUGUGGCCAGACAGGGUAGCGCAGGGCGUAACCACAGGAUGUAGA
rnacentral:lncRNA from 1 species